GAUGAACGCUGGCGGCGUGCCUAAUACAUGCAAGUCGAGCGAACAGACGAGGAGCUUGCUCCUCUUACGUUAGCGGCGGACGGGUGAGUAACACGUGGAUAACCUACCUAUAAGACUGGGAUAACUUCGGGAAACCGGAGCUAAUACCGGAUAAUAUAUUGAACCGCAUGGUUCAAUAGUGAAAGACGUUUUUUCUGUCACUUAUAGAUGGAUCCGCGCCGCAUUAGCUAGUUGGUAAGGUAACGGCUUACCAAGGCAACGAUGCGUAGCCGACCUGAGAGGGUGAUCGGCCACACUGGAACUGAGACACGGUCCAGACUCCUACGGGAGGCAGCAGUAGGGAAUCUUCCGCAAUGGGCGAAAGCCUGACGGAGCAACGCCGCGUGAGUGAUGAAGGUCUUCGGAUCGUAAAACUCUGUUAUUAGGGAAGAACAAAUGUGUAAGUAACUAUGCACGUCUUGACGGUACCUAAUCAGAAAGCCACGGCUAACUACGU
rnacentral:rRNA from 1 species